rnacentral:rRNA from 1 species
GUCCACGCCGUAAACGAUGAUUACUAGGUGUCGGGGGACCAAGGUCCUUCGGUGCCGCCGCAAACGCAAUAAGUAAUCCACCUGGGGAGUACGUUCGCAAGAAUGAAACUCAAAGGAAUUGACGGGGCCCGCACAAGCAGCGGAGCAUGUGGUUUAAUUCGACGCAACGCGAAGAACCUUACCAGGUCUUGACAUCCAGUUAAAGCUGUUGAAAGAUAGUGUCCCUUCGGGGGAACUGAGACAGGUGGUGCAUGGUUGUCGU